AUGGAAGGAGCCAAGGCAGCGGCGGGGCCGGCGGCAGGUGGGCAGCUGGAAUCGGCGCUCCUCCACAUCAUGCAGCAACACCACCACCAAUCCCUCCGCCAGCGCCAACAAACCGAGAGGGCGAAGAAGGACGCCCUGCGGAGCGCGGCGCGGCUCGCCGGUCAUCUCGUGGAGGCCGUCGACGGCGGGGUGCAGGAGCUCUUCGUCAACGAGAAGCGCAUCGAGCUCGAGGCCCGCGCGCUGCUCGGGACCAUCGCGCGGUACAGGAAGCAGAGCGACCAGUGGCUCGCCGCCACCAACGCGGUCAACUCGAUCCUCAAGGUUUUUACAUUAUUAUUACGUAUUAUUGUUGUUACAAAAUGGAUGUGCCUAAUUCACAUGUUUUAG
rnacentral:rRNA from 1 species